UGAUUAAAACUGUCUUCAUUAUAACCACAAUAUCACACAGCAAAAUCAGAAGUGUUGUUGUUGUCUGUUAAAAAUACGGAGUUAAUUCAACACUUGUUUAGUCUAGCUCAACGAUAUGAGUGUUAGUUUCUCCAAAGAGUUGCUGUUAUUCCGGGGAGUUAAAUUGAAGCAACUCAAUCAGGUGUUGAAUUUAAAAUCAACGCCUGACAGAGUCGCUCCCAGAAGUCCAACGUAUCUGUGACGUAUCUGUGACGUAUUUGUUGAAGAGCGGGACCGCAGUCUCAUGAAGUCUGGAGCUGACAUCGUGACAAGGUCAGUUUUUUUUCAGUUGAUCUCAUGAGAGGAAAGCAAAGCAAAAAUGUUUGUGUCUCUACACAUCCAUGGUGAACAUCCUGUAAAUAAUGGCACAUUGUGGCUUCCUUUUCUUUCUUCUUCAUGAGUUCAUCAUGUUGGUGAAGGUGAGAUUUGGAGAAAUGCAGAAGUAUGUCAAAGUGGCUGAGACUGAAGAUGGUUAUGACUUCAACACAUUUCUUCAGAAAGUCAUUGAGAAGCUAGAUCUUCCACUUGAGACUGAGCUCCACUUGACAGAUGAAUCAGGGACAGAAGUCGAUGCAGAUGUUUGAGGAUCUUUUGCAAGCAGGGAGCCUUACUGUUCAGGUGACAACUGAAAGGUCAACAGGUCAGUUGUGCUUCAACAUGAUUUAUCAUCUGCUUCGUUGGAGUCAACCAUGUCAGGCAACUCAUCUGUGGCCGUUUCUGGAGACUCCUUUCUAGCGUCCUCUGAUUCAUCUGAUGCCGCAGUGAUUGUUCACACAAACGGAGGGACCGUCCAAGAUCUGAGAGGAACUGACAGGAAGCAGCUAAAGUGACGAUGUGAACGCCUCAACACACCUCAUACACCUCAGCUGACAGAGGAUAGAGGACCUGUGGAGGAGGAGGAAAGGAGGAAGAGGAUGCAGGUGGUGGAGAGGUUUCAGACGGCUCCUUCUGAGGAAAUAGCAGCUCUCUGUGGAUCCAGGGUCAUCAGUUGGUACCAGAACCUCAAUCUAAAAAUGAACCUUUUUGGAAGAUCUUGGUCAGACUGGAAUCUUUACCUCAUUGCUUCAGUCCAAACUAGAUCAGGUCUUUGAUCCGAUUGUUCAUCCUCCUCCGUCUCCAUCUGGACAAUCGUCUCGUCGUUGGACGCCGAUCUAUGAGAUGAACUUUCCUGACCUCUGUGUGUAUUAGAGACUCAACAGGAUGACCUGGAUCAUUAUGAAGCAUCUGAUGAUGUGUUCAAGGAACAGAGGACAGAACAACUGAGGACUGGAAACAUGUAGCAUGAGUCAUGUUUUGUUUUCAUAGAAGAAGUUUUUCUCAGUGGCUGUUUUGUUCCUCUGAGAAAGAUUUAGUUUUGUGUUGAUCUCAGUAUUUCCCAGUUUUAUGUUUCAUUUUGUUGUGAUUCUUGAAGUGUGAUUGUCAAAAAGAAAACUUUAUUUAAAUCAUGUUGAAUUAAUUCAACUUUAACUGUCCUUUUAUUUGGUUUUGUCCCUAAACUUUAAACCAACUUUUUAUUAUUCUGAAACAUUGCUGAUAAACUGUUGGAGAUGAUGACCUCAGAGUGGAAAGUUUGAACCAUGUUUCAUGUAUCAUGUGUGACCUGGUAGAUCAAGGUGUUGGUUAGUAUGAACUGCAUGGGCUUCAUCUAAAACCAACUUGGUCAGGGUUUAAACGCAGCAAACUGGAGGAAGGACAGACAGGGUAUGAAACACAGAAAACAUCUGAUUCAUGGAGACACUGAUCAAGAAUGAUCAUAUCUGUGCAGCGUCCCAACUCAGUUACCUUCUGCUACAACUAAUCUGUCCACUAGAGGGAGCACAGAUACUUCCACAGGUUCUGCUUCAAACUUAAAGAUGAAAUAACUGCAUUCAGUGUUAUUUGACUACUUUGUUAAAUCUUUGAAUAAAGAAAUGUCUGUUUUUA